UUUAUUGUAACGCGUAUCAGAUUACAUAAGUUACCUUUCACCCUUUUUUCAGUUUCUUGUUUCUUCUUAAAUAUUUUUUGAUUUACUUGUCUGCUUUGACCAAUUUAUGCAAAUUAAUCAACAAUUUACGCUAUUUAUGAAGUCUAAAGCUACAUAAAUGAUGUAUUUAAUGUGUAACAAGUGAUUAUUUAAAGCUUAAGUUCAAUGGUCUUUAGUCUCAACCAUCUAAGUCUUCAAGAAAUAUCAACUAGUUUACAUGGAAUUAUUUAAAUAAAUUGUGUUAAUUUAUGAUGUGAAAAUGGACUAAUUUGAUAAAAGAUUUCAUUCUUGUCUGAUUAUUUGUCAAAUUUCACAUUUUUAUUGGAGUCAUCUUCUAGUUCUUUUUUGCCAAUGUGGAUGCUUUAUUAGGUGCUGAUGAAAAUGUCUAUGAAAGUGGAUAAUGAAAUCAAUGUGAAUUGUAACAAUUUGAAGGAUAUUUUACUGUUAAUUGGGCGCAAAGCAUAAAAUUGAAUAUAAUGAGGAAAAAUUGUGAUUGACAGUUAACAUAAUCAUCACCUUAACUGCAAUCUCCUUUGCUUUCAACUGCAUCAUUAUCAAUUUAAUUAUGUAUUCACAAGUUUCCCGUUUAAUUUAAAUACUGUCAUAUUCAAAUGUAGCUUCCUACCAGAUAAUAACAUUGGCAAAUCGUACGAAAAAUUCAUUCCAUUAUUCCUUGUAUCAACACAAAAGGAAAUUGUUUUUCUUCUCAACUCCUCAGGUUUACUAUUAGGCAAACACAAACCAACCAACCAGAAAUACCUUUUAAUCAACCUUGAUUAAUAUACAUCAUUAUCAACUCAUCAUUCUGGAUGUUGUUUGGACCAAAAAAAACCAGAAAAGCUAAAAACAAAUUGAAAUGAAGGAGGAUCAAUUAAUUAACCUGCAAACUAAUCAAUUACCAUCAAUAAUGGUCAAAGACAACUCGAAACCAAUAGACAUGGAAAAGAUGCUGCAAGGUAUCUUCAGGUACAAGAUAAACAUAAAGAAAAGGAUAAAACCCUCUCAAACCUGGACAAAUGUUUAUCAUCAAGAUUAUCUUGGAUAAUUUUACUCCUGGUCACCAUCAGUAGCAAGCUGGAAGCUCAUCUCUAAUGUCCAUUAAGAUUACAAUUUUAUUACAAUAUCAAUGGCGAUUACCUUUACUUGAAACUACAAAAUCGUAAAGCAAGCAACAAUGGCAAGCAUAUUGUCAACAGAUGAACCUGCACCCAAGUUGAACCUUCAUUUCAACUGUACUUUUGAUUAUUUAUUCAAUAUUUACCGACCAUCCUACACGAUUAUCAAAUAUUUAAAGUUGAUAAUUCAUUCUAUUGUUCAAUGGUUAAUCUUGAAUCACAAUUGUCAUCCAAUUUUUUAAUUUCAACUCUUUUCCCGACAUCUUUUUAAUUCAUAUUCAGUUAAAGCUUCCUAUGGUAUUAGCUGUUUUCAAUCAAGCUGUUUCUCUGUUCAUUUCAAAACUGUUUACUUUUUCAAUUCACUUCACUUUUUUUCCAA